UAGCAUAUCAAUAAGCGGAGGAAAAGAAACCAACCGGGAUUGCCCUAGUAACGGCGAGUGAAGCGGCAACAGCUCAAAUUUGAAAUCUGGAGCCUUUGGCUUCCGAGUUGUAAUUUGCAGAGGGAGCCUCGGAGGGCGAGACGGUCCAAGUGCCUUGGAACAGGAUACCGCAGAGGGUGAGAGUCCCGUAUCCGGCCGAUCUUGCGCUCCGUGUGAGGCCCCUUCGACGAGUCGAGUUGUUUGGGAAUGCAGCUCCAAGCGGGUGGUAAAUUCCAUCUAAAGCUAAAUACUGGCCAGAGACCGAUAGCGAACAAGUAGAGUGAUCGAAAGAUGAAAAGCACUUUGAAAAGAGAGUCAAACAGUACGUGAAAUUGUUGAAAGGGAAGCGCAUGGGGGCAGACUUGGACGCGGGGUUCAGCGUUUCUUUUUGGAGCGUGUACUUCCCCGCGUGCAGGCCAGCAUCGGUUCCGGGGGCCGGACAAAGACGUUGGGAAUGUGGCUCCCCUCGGGGAGUGUUAUAGCCCGGCGUGCAAUGCGGCCACCUGGGACCGAGGACCGCGCCUUGUGCAAGGAUGCUGGCGUAAUGGCCUCAUGCGGCCCGUCUUGAAACACGGACCAAGGAGUCUAACAUCUAUGCGAGUGUUUGGGUGGCAAGCCCGGACGCGCAAUGAAAGUGAACGGAGGUGGGAGUCUGUUAAAGGACGCACCAUCGACCGAUCCGGACGUCUUCUGAAGGAUUUGAGUAAGAGCAUAGCUGUUGGGACCCGAAAGAUGGUGAACUAUGCGUGAAUAGGGUGAAGCCAGAGGAAACUCUGGUGGAGGCUCGCAGCGGUUCUGACGUGCAAAUCGAUCGUCAAAUUUGCGUAUAGGGGGCGAAAGACUAAUCGAACCAUCUAGUAGCUGGUUCCUGCCGA
rnacentral:rRNA from 1 species